GAUGAACGCUAGCGGCAGGCUUAACACAUGCAAGUCGAGGGGUAGAAGCAGCUUGCUGCUUUGAGACCGGCGCACGGGUGCGUAACGCGUAUGCAAUCUACCUUUUACGGAGGGAUAGCCCAGAGAAAUUUGGAUUAAUACCUCAUAGUAUGUGAGAAUCGCAUGGUUUUCACAUUAAAGUUCCAACGGUAAAAGAUGAGCAUGCGUCCCAUUAGCUAGAUGGUAAGGUAACGGCUUACCAUGGCGACGAUGGGUAGGGGUCCUGAGAGGGAGAUCCCCACACUGGUACUGAGACACGGACCAGACUCCUACGGGAGGCAGCAGUGAGGAAUAUUGGG
rnacentral:rRNA from 1 species